UAGGUUUUGUAAUGGGCGCGGCGGGGAGGCGGGGUGUGGAGGGGGAUGGAGGGAUCUGAGAGGAGGGAACUAGUCUUUCGAUGGUGGCGAGUGUGGGAAGGCUUGGCAGGUCAGAACCUUCUGAAAACCUGGGAAACUUUCUGAGGUCAGAAUCAACUGCUAUACCACUAUACCAACUACCGUACCACUGAGUGUCCUGCAGCAACCCAGUCAGAGGCUUUUGCAGCUGACUCCACAGAGGACUCCCCUGUGAACUGAGUGACCAAGUAUCACCUGGGUGACCUUGCAGGGUCUAGCCCCAUCCUGUGCUGGGCCUUUGCAGACCAUUUAUAGUUCACAAGGAGCACGGCCUUUAAGGAAAGGCCAUGAACACCAGAUGGGGUUAGGGUUUUGUGCCAAGCAGAUCAGCACGAGAGACAUCCAUCCCCAGAAAGGAACUGUGUUUUCAAGUACACAUCUCUCCUUUUAGAGCACGCUAUAAUGGAGUACAUGGCACUAAAAGAAGUACAGCCAUGCUGGAUGUACUAUACAUUUAAUUAAUCCCACUGAACAAACAGGAAGUGAGGUAGAGCCCCACAAUAGUCCAGAAUCAGAACUAGAGUAACUCGGCCAAAAAGUCUCUGUUAAGUUUUUUAAUAAUUCAGGUCAAAAUGAGUUUCAAUCAGUUAACUCAUAAUCAACAGGUUGCCUGUUUUUCUUUUUCCUCACCUACCGCCCUAUUC